UACGUAGGGUCCGAGCGUUGUCCGGAAUUACUGGGCGUAAAGAGCUCGUAGGUGGUUUGUCGCGUUGUUCGUGAAAACUCACAGCUCAACUGUGGGCGUGCGGGCGAUACGGGCAGACUUGAGUACUGCAGGGGAGACUGGAAUUCCUGGUGUAGCGGUGGAAUGCGCAGAUAUCAGGAGGAACACCGGUGGCGAAGGCGGCAUCCUGGACCAACACUGACGCUGAGGAGCGAAAGCGUGGGGGAGCGAACAGG
rnacentral:rRNA from 1 species